rnacentral:rRNA from 1 species
UACAGAGGUCCCAAGCGUUGUUCGGAUUCACUGGGCGUAAAGGGUGCGUAGGCGGUUUGACAAGUCUGAUGUGAAAUCCCGCAGCUUAACUGCGGAACUGCAUUGGAAACUGUCUGGCUAGAGGAAUGGAGGGGAGACUGGAAUACUUGGUGUAGCAGUGAAAUGCGUAGAUAUCAAGUGGAACACCAGUGGCGAAGGCGAGUCUCUGGACAGUUACUGACGCUGAGGCACGAAGGCCAGGGGAGCAAACGGG